rnacentral:rRNA from 1 species
GAUGAACGCUGGCGGCGUGCCUAAUACAUGCAAGUCGAGCGAACAGACGAGGAGCUUGCUCCUCUGACGUUAGCGGCGGACGGGUGAGUAACACGUGGAUAACCUACCUAUAAGACUGGGAUAACUUCGGGAAACCGGAGCUAAUACCGGAUAAUAUAUUGAACCGCAUGGUUCAAUAGUGAAAGACGGUUUUGCUGUCACUUAUAGAUGGAUCCGCGCCGCAUUAGCUAGUUGGUAAGGUAACGGCUUACCAAGGCAACGAUGCGUAGCCGACCUGAGAGGGUGAUCGGCCACACUGGAACUGAGACACGGUCCAGACUCCUACGGGAGGCAGCAGUAGGGAGUCUUCCGCAAUGGGCGAAAGCCUGACGGAGCAACGCCGCGUGAGUGAUGAAGGUCUUCGGAUCGUAAAACUCUGUUAUUAGGGAAGAACAAAUGUGUAAGUAACUAUGCACGUCUUGACGGUACCUAAUCAGAAAGCCACGACUAACUACGUG